GAGUCCCCGGCCUCUCCGGGCCUACGGAAGCACCGGGCGUCCGCGGCGAAGCCGGCCGUGGAAGGCCCUCAGAGCGCGGCCUACGCACGCAAACCCGACGCCUGGGAUCCAGAGGAGACCCGGAGGACUAACCGCGUCCCCUGGGCCUGCGCUAAGGCUUCGGCGAGGCGCGCUGCGGGGCCGGGAGGCCAUUUUGAGAGCGAACGAGCGGCGGCAAGAUGGCUGCGUGGGCACGAGGACAUGCUCCAGGGUGGGUCGAAAGAAGAGAAAAGAGAAAAGACAGCUUGCUGAUGAAUAAAAAGCCCUCUCUCCUCAGACAUGGUGGGAUGUACUCUGAUCUAGAGCAGGAAGCUGGCCAGAGAUCCACCAGGAGCUUGGCCUCAGAUGACCUUGAGGAGAAAGAUUGUCCUGUGAAGGGAAGUGAUGAGAUAGGCUCUGAUCAGCUUUUCUGGGAACAGACAGAGAAGUGGUAACUCUUGCCAAAGUCACAGGAUGAAUACAGAGCCAAGAACCUGAACCAGAAAAAUCCAGCAGAAAAGGAAAACUCAAUAGCCAUCAUCCUGCGGCUGCUGUACAAGGAGCAAUCCUGCCACCAGGGACUUGGCAGGAGACCAGGGGACUCGCUCCACACCCUCCUAGAGGGAGGGCCUUUGUCACUCACCUGCUUGCCCAGGAUCACCUUCAUUCCUGCUUGUGCCACACCUUUUCAGGCCUGUUCUGGGCGUGAUGUGCUGUAGAACACUCUGUUCAGGCACUUGGGAAACGGAAACUUCAUCACCAGCGUUUCCACCCCAGAGAACUAGGCGGCACACUGGGAAGUUGCCAAAGGAAGGGACUUCAGCCUCCCAGGAGUUAACAACAUUUCUCCCCAGCUGUCCUCCACUUGGUGCUCCUUUUCCUCCCUCCUCCUGCUCACAGCAGGCAGGGCCUGGAACCAGGAGCCAUGCUGCUGUGCUGUUGCCAGGGGAGCUGGGAGGCAGAUCGGAGCUAUGCAGGGAAAAGGCUCGGCCUGUCAAAGUGUCUGAGAUGAACCACCGCCAUCCCUGUGCAGCUGGGCUCGAUGUGUCUCAAGGCUCUUGUUCUGUGCCUGAGAACGGUGAAACCUAGUGAGGUUCAAGGGCACACUCAAUAGUCAUCAGUCAGGGGUUCUUGACGGUCCUGCCUCUCCCAGGGAUGGGUUCCCCCCUUCCUCUUUCUCUCCCUCCUAUGGCACAUUCCUGGGUGCCUGUGGUGAAAACUGCACACCCCCUCCUCCACAGCCCCCACCCCCUAAGCCAGCUCCUACUAAGAAGGCCAGGCAGGACAGAGACAAUGGCUUCCAGAAACCAUUCAGGCGGGACCGGCCACAUGCGCCUGCCCUUCACUCCCAGUGCCCAUGUAGAUCCCACUCUGCCGUGAUUCAGAGCACCCUUGGGCCCCCAGCUUGCACAUGCCUAGACAGGAGCAGGCCACUAGGCGCUGCCCUACACAACAGGCCAGUGCAGUGUUGUUCUCAGAGGGUCCCUUGGUGCCUCCAUCCCAACUGGCUGGAUAUUUUUGUGCAGUUGCUUGGAAAGUAGAAACUGCACAAUAUUUUCUGAAAUGCAGUAAUAUCAAAAUAUAAAAGGCACAUAUACUUGAUGCUAAUUUCACUCCAGAUAUACUGGAAAAGUUUGCUAAGAAGCAUGGACAAAGACCUAUGUUUGACGUGAUGAGUCGUUUCAGUCUAUGGAAUACUACACAGUUGUAAGGCUGUGGUGGAUCUCUGCAUGCGGGUUGAUAGGGCAGGUUGCCAAUAUACUUAAGUGAAUAGAAUAAAGUACAAAACAGUCAAGUGUGUUCUUGUUUGUAUAUACUUAAAGGUCAGUCACAGUGCCGGGUAAAAUGCACACAGCAUACAAGAAAGAGGCCUAGAGCCAAAUAAAACUGUAUCAGCCAUAAGUCUGUCUGUCUGGAUGGUCCUGGAAGCAAGCACUGCACAGCAGCCUCCAGGAAGCAGGAGGCAUUUCUUCCUGUGUUUUUGUGUUUAUUUUCUCUCUGCAUUUGUGAAACGCUUUUAUUGAAAAAGGAAAGGGUAGUCAUCACUUAAUAGGUGUAACUUCUCUCAGCCAGUGAAGGGUGUGCACUCCGAGACAAGGUGGUGAUGUGGCAGAGAAGUGUCUUGACAGUACUGAUGGCCUCUGGUCACUGGCGAUUCUCCAGCCACAUGUCAUCAUCAUGGCUGCCACUGUUAAUCAAAAGCCCACUUAGUUCCAGGGUUGGUUCUCUGGUUCUUGCUUAGGUAAAUGUCAUAUUAUUUCAGUCUAACCUAUGCAGGAGAUUGAAUGGAGAAAUCAGUGGGUUUCUCCACACUGCUUGGCAAGUGAGGGGCAGUCAGUAUCCUAGAGUGGGUAAGGCAAGUGUGGGCUCUGACUUCCCUCUGGGAGGACCUGUUUUGAGGAGGGAGGCUUGUGGGUUGUGUUGAUUAUGAGUGGGCACCCCUACUUGCUUUAGCCCAAUGGAGGUGCCCUGCUGGGGACAGACUGGCUUCAGGAGUAGACUAGCUCUGAUAGGCUCUAUCUGGAUAGACACAGCAUGUGUCCAGAGAGAUACCAGGAGACUUUGCUGCUCCUAGUGCUAAUCAAAAGCCUGGUUUUGUCCCCAAAGGAGUAAAUUGCUACAGGGCAUCUGGAAAGGGCCAUGUGAGCUGAGCAUUGAGUCUUGGAACCAGCAUAAGUUCAGGCACGCAUGCCACGGAGCUCUGCAUUGGGUCCUGAGGCCUGGGAGUGGGCAAGGAAAAAUCCACAGUAGAGUUGACCAGAGAAACCUGGGAGACCCACAGAUGUCCCUGGACUUGGAUGGCAGCUUUAGAAGUCAGGAGAAAAGCAACUAGGGAUGGGGCUGUCACCAGGUCUCUUUUUUUGGUGCAGUCUUAAUUUUAUACAGAGGGAACACUGGUACGCUCAUUUUACAGAUGACAUUGAAGUUCAGAAAUGUUGCUACAUGUCCCAAGUCACAGCUAAAAAGUGCCAGAACUGAGAUUUAACACCUAUCCCAUUGGCUGCAGUUUGGAUUCCUAACCGCAAGUAUAUAUCCUUUUUGGCUGGGCCACUUCAAAGAGGUCGCAUAAGCCCCAGCCCUUCUUGGCCAGUCCCAUACAUUGAGACAUUAACUUCUGCCUUUGAGAUUCCCUCAAUAUCUUGCUUAGGGCCUUCCCUCUACCUAAUCUCAUCUCACGAGUAUACUAAGCUUUGGAGCCUGGGCCUAGAGCUGGAGAAGAAAUUCAAAACCAUAUACAGACUGGGGCCUUCAGUUAGGAUUGCUAUUGGGCACCCGUGCUGUUUGCCUCCUGGAGUCUGGGCGACACUGUGCACAGGCUGCAUCUUCCUUCAGGUCCUUGGCCUGAAAGCCUGAUGGGAAGGUCAAGGAUGCUCCAGGACCUGGGCCCUUGCUUCUCAGAGGUGGACUGCCUGAGGCUCAAGCCUGAGGCUGGAGGAGCAGGCAUGGGAGAGCAAAAGGAACAGCCAGGCUUAGAAAUUGUUGGAACUCUUCCGACUUAUUUCAGGACAACCCUGAGGGAUGAUUAAGACAAAUUCUGAGAGAAAGAACUCUUCUGACCCUGGGAAACCUCUGCCUCUUUUUACUCCAGCUCACAACUAAUAAAAGUU